CAGGAAUUGAUGUUUGAAUGCUCCGAUAGUGUAACCCAGGAGCAGUACCUGCACCCGAUGUCCACUGUUUCGUCCACUCCUUUCGUAGGUAUAAUUUGGGCAGAGCUAACAGGUCUUCAGAAACAUUUUUAAAUGGAAACAUGUCUCCACAGCUAAUAGCAUCUCGAGCUAAUUCAUCAACUUUUUCAUUGCCUUUAAUCCCUCUGUGACCAGGAAUCCAAGCAAUAGAGACAGAAUACCCUUGUAAAUGACAUUUUAACAAUAGGCUACGGAUUUGAUAAAUAAUUGGAUUAUGAGAUUUAGAUUUGAAAGGAAAUUUAGAUAUUGCUUGAAGAGAACUUAAAGAGUCUGAAAAAAUAAUUGUGUUUUUAAGAUGCAUUAUGAUGAUAAAUUCUAAUGCUUUCAGGAUUCCAAAGCAUUCACCACUGUACACAGAGGAUUCAGGAGGCAACUUUAUCUUUUGGUAAAUAUUGGAUUGAAUGUGAAGUACACCAAUACCAACACAGCCAUUGGUGGACAUCUUAGAAGCAUCUGUAUACAUAUGGUUAGCACCCUGACAAUCAGUACCAAUAAAACCCAGAAAUUGUUGGUUUUGAUCUAUAUCAUUCUUUGAAAUACCUAUAUUCAGGAGAACCGGCGGGACUAAUGCAAGAGACUCAUAUUCAUGUUGAAAAAUGGGAAGUGUAGAAGAGCUAACAGUGGGAGCUGAAAUAGAUUUAAGCUUUUGAAAACUUUUGAUUAAACAAGGAGGACUCUUGUGUUUCCAAUAAUUGGAUGUAGUUAUUUGAAGAAGGAGGCUAGACAAGAUACCCCAGAGUUGGUGAUUAGAGAAUUGGGAGCAACGGAAAAUAAAUCUAUCACAAAGAUAUUGGCGUCGUAAAUGGAGCGGAGGCUCAACACACUCAACUUGCAUAGCAUUAAUAGGGCUUGAAUUCAUGGCGCCACAAAUUAUUCUCAGGGCUUUAGAUUGAAUACGGUCUAGUUUUUGGAAUCCAGCUACAUAUCCAGGCUCUAACAAAAAUGUCCCGUAAUCUAAAAUACUUCUUAUUAAGGCAUUGUACAUUAGUUUCAUACAAAAAGGAUGUGAACCCCACCAAACACCAGAAACACACCUAAGGAUAUUAAUAUUUUUUUCACAUUUAGAAACUAUGUACUCACAAUGUGGGAGGCCUGUUAAUUUACUGUCUAAAAUGACACCAAGGAAUUUAGUUUUAUCUUUUACUGAAACGGAGUAGUUAUCAAAUUGAACCUUGAUUGGAGGAGGAAAUAGCUUUCUAGUAAAUAAAACCACAACACUUUUAGAAACAGAAAGUUCUAAACCAUUAGAAUCUAACCAUGACUUCAAGAAACCUAAGGAACAAGUGACGGAUCUACUGGCCUGUUCAGGAGAAAGAUUUGAUGAGUAAAGUAAUAAAUCGUCGGCAUACUGUAAGACCCUAACUGUACCAUUUAGAGAUGACUCUAAAUCAGACGUAUAGAUAUUGUAUAACAAUGGACUUAAUACAGAUCCUUGUGGUAGUCCUCUCCACACUAAACGAGAAAUUCUAUUGUUGUUGUCUAUAAGAAGACUAAUGGACCGUUCAGAUAAAAGGUUUAUUACAAAAUUACUUAACAUUUCUGGAAUGCCUAACUUGAGAAGCUUUUCAUGUAACACAGAAACCAAAACAUUAUCAUAAGCAGCACUUAUAUCCAGAAAAGCGGCUACUACUGACUCAUUUUUAGAAAAAGCCAAUCGUAUAUCUGCAAUUAAUAUUGACAAACUAUCAUAGGUAGAUCUACCUUUUCGGAAUCCAAACUGACUAUGAGAUAGUAAUUGGUUCUUUUCAACAAAAAAUUCUAGUCUGUUUUUAAUUAAGUGUUCAGCUAUUUUUGCAAAUACUGAAGAAAGGGCAAUAGGGCGAUAGGAUGAAACAUCUGAUGCUGGUUUAUUGGGUUUUAAAAUAGGAAUAACUAUUUGGGAUCUCCAUGAAUCUGGGACUAUACCGGACUGAAUAACUGAAUUUACUAUGCUUAGAUAAUAAGAAAGUAUGCCAUCACUGGCAUUUACUAAAAAUGAGUAAGGCACUCCAUCUUCACCAGGAGCACUAUCUUUUAAAUUACUUAACACACCUUUUAAUUCCUCCAUUUUAAAAGGGCAAUUAAAGGUGGAAUCUAAGGAAGGAUCGUAUAAAAAUGUUGCAGGUUGGAACACAAACUCUUCAGGAACAGAUGAAGGGAAUACAUCAUCAGCUACUUCUAUGAUCACCCUGGCCAGGGCAACCGAGCAGCCGACUAUGUCAGUAUCAUCUAAACUAGGCAAAAACAACAAUUUCUUCUCUACACAGCUUUUGAAAUUUUCCCAGUCAGCAUUACAUAAAUUGUAUUUAAGCCUUGGGCUAGGUUUCGGAGAUGGACGUGUAGAUGAAGGAAAUGAGACUAUAAUUGGAAAAUGAUCACUACCAAAUGUAGAAUCAAGAGUUUGCCAGGUGAAAGAAGAUGCAAGUUCAGCAGAGCAAAUGGAUAGAUCAACAGCGCUGGGUGAUUCUGUAGGCGCUGUACGGCGAGUUGGAGAGCCAGUAUUAAGUACACAAAGAUUGUGAUCAUCUAAGAUUUUUAAAACACGAAGUCCAUUAUAGUUGGAUACUGAACUGCCCCAAAACUGAUGGUGUGAGUUGAAAUCUCCUAGAAUCAACAAGGGCCUAGGUAGAGAAGAAAUUAUAUGUUCUAAUUCAUUAAAAAUAGAAGAUGAUUGAUGAGGAAUAUAUACAGAGAGAAUGCAGAUGUUAUUUACAAUGGCAGCAACAAUUGAGAAAUCAUCACUGUGAGAUGGAAGCUGAAGAGAUGAAAAUGAUUCAGAGUUCCUGAUGAGUAAAGCUACUCCACCCCACCCAUCAGGACGGUCCUCUCUGAGGCAUGAAUAGCCAGUAGCUCUUAGAAGAGCUCCAGGCUUGAGCCAUGUCUCAGAUAGGGCAAAAACACAUGGAUUAAAUUUAUUUAAUAAAUGAAUUAAAUCAUGUUUCUUAUUGAUUAUGCUUCUGCAAUUCCACUGUAUUAUAUUGUCCAUUAUUUUUAAUUGCAAAUGUAAGAGAGUCAAUCAUAGGGGCAACGUGGGACGGUAAAGUAAGGUUUGGCUUAGACAAUAGAGUUCUUAGGGCCUCAAUAGACUCGGCGAUUACUAGUCUGUCUUCUUUUUCUGUUUCCUGACGUAGAGCACAACCGUUUUGAGGAGAAGGGAUGGCGUAUUCGCUUAUAAUGGCCCGAUGUGCAGCCACAUCAUAGCCAGGUGUAGUCUUUUUAACAGAAGGACGAGGUUUCAAAAAAAUAGUUUUUCUACUGCUAUGGCUAGGAAGGCGCAUAUUCGAACUUGGGCCUGGAACUGAAGUUUGGACACUGUUACGAGGUAAAUCUGAUUGAGUAUGUGAUGGUGACACUUGUGAUUUGACCAUGUCUGCAAACGAUUUCGAUAUGGCUGGGUGCAGUUUAACUGCUUCUCCAUAGGAGAUGCAGUUAUUAGCCAUACUGACUUUGAUCUCUUUUUGUCUAACAUAUUCUGGACAUGACCUGUUUGUGGCAAAGUGAAAGCCAUUGCACAAACAGCAAAUGGCUUCCUCCUCCUCCACAACACAGGUAUUUCCCGCAUGCAUUUCUCCACACUUAAAGCAUUUGGGCUUUGAACGGCAAUUGUUUUUUGUAUGACCGAAUUUACAGCAUAAAAAGCAUUGAAUGGUAGGAAAAAUGUACAAUUCCACGGCAAGAGAGUUGUAGCAUGAAAAGACUCGUUUAGGUAAUACUUGACCAUCAAAUGUCAAUACGACUGUCUCUGAGGGUUGCCAGGUAGUAGAACCAUUAACCACAACUCUGUGAUUUAAACGUCGUACUUUUAGUACCUUUCCACACCCCAUGGGCACGGAAAUGUUGGAAAUUAUUUCUUCCUCCAACCACUGUGCAGGAAUACCGCGAACCAAGCCCAUACGGGUCACCGAAAAUGACGGAAUGUAUGCAGUAAGAUUUUCUGACUCAAGGCACGUAUCAGUAACAAAUAAGUUCGCAUCUAUGUAAUUUGAAAACGACAUUGCUAUACGUGUCCUACCAAUGCGCUUAACACUUCCAUUUAUAAUGUUUUUGAAACCUUUUUUGACUAAGAAUUUCCCAAAGGAGACCGGGUGUAAGGAUGAUUUUGCAUCAGUUUGUUUAAUUUGAACGUGCACCGUAAAGGGAGCAACAUCUGAAGAUGAGAAUAAAUUCCUGCCAACCUUGGCGCUAGUAUUGUCAUUGUUUGUAUUUAAUUUAUCCGAAGAGUUUACGUUAGGCUGAAUAUUAGACUUUGAAGGAGCUUGGGUGUCUUGUAUGUUCUCCUGACAAUCGCACGAAUAGUCCCCGCCAUUAUUUUUCCUUCUUUUUUUAUUACAUGCUUUGCAUCGUUUGUGA